UACGUAGGGUGCGAGCGUUGUCCGGAAUUAUUGGGCGUAAAGAGCUCGUAGGCGGUCUGUCGCGUCGGCUGUGAAAACCCGGAGCUCAACUCCGGGCCUGCAGUCGAUACGGGCAAACUGGAGUGUUGCAGGGGAGACUGGAAUUCCUGGUGUAGCGGUGAAAUGCGCAGAUAUCAGGAGGAACACCGGUGGCGAAGGCGGGUCUCUGGGCAACAACUGACGCUGAGGAGCGAAAGCCAGGGGAGCGAACGGG
rnacentral:rRNA from 1 species